UUUAAUGAGAGUUUGAUCCUGGCUCAGGAUGAACGCUGGCGGCGUGCCUAAUACAUGCAAGUAGAACGCUGAAGCUUGGUGCUUGCACCGAGCGGAUGAGUUGCGAACGGGUGAGUAACGCGUAGGUAACCUGCCUCUUAGCGGGGGAUAACUAUUGGAAACGAUAGCUAAUACCGCAUAAAAGUCGAUAUUGCAUGAUAUUGAUUUGAAAGGUGCAAAUGCAUCACUAAGAGAUGGACCUGCGUUGUAUUAGCUAGUUGGUGAGGUAACGGCUCACCAAGGCGACGAUACAUAGCCGACCUGAGAGGGUGAUCGGCCACACUGGGAC
rnacentral:rRNA from 1 species